GGAAGUUCAAGUAUUAUUAUUGUGUACAUGUUCCCCUUGCUGUAGAAAUCUCGAAAAGUAAAUGCCUUACCUAUGUUGUGUCAGUUGGGGUUUUAUCUAGCUAACCCGACAAUGCAACCUCUAGGUAAAAUGUAUAUAGUUUGAUUGUUGCUGAAGAAUAUGUGAACUAUGUGAUAGUAGCAUGUGCGCAUUCAAGAUGAACUCCUUCCAUGCCAACAAUAGUAGCACUAAACUUUCA
rnacentral:misc_RNA from 1 species